rnacentral:rRNA from 1 species
UACGUAGGGUGCAAGCGUUGUCCGGAAUUAUUGGGCGUAAAGAGCUUGUAGGCGGUUUGUCGCGUCUGCUGUGAAAUUUCGGGGCUCAACCCCGAACUUGCAGUGGGUACGGGCAGACUAGAGUGUGGUAGGGGAGACUGGAAUUCCUGGUGUAGCGGUGAAAUGCGCAGAUAUCAGGAGGAACACCGGUGGCGAAGGCGGUGGUCUGGGCCGGCACUGACGCUGAGAAGCGAAAGCGUGGGGGAGCGAACAGG